GAUGAACGCUAGCGAUAGGCCUAACACAUGCAAGUCGAGGGGCAGCACAUGACGUAGCAAUACAGAUGGUGGCGACCGGCGCACGGGUGAGUAACACGUAUGCAACCUACCUUUAACACGGGCAUAACCCGGAGAAAUUCGGACUAAUUCCCGAUAAUACAGGGGUCCCGCAUGGGAAUAUUUGUUAAAGAUUUAUUGGUUAAAGAUGGGCAUGCGUUCCAUUAGCUAGUUGGUGAGGUAACGGCUCACCAAGGCAACGAUGGAUAGGGGAACUGAGAGGUUUAUCCCCCACACUGGAACUGAGACACGGUCCAGACUCCUACGGGAGGCAGCAGUGAGGAAUAUUGGUCAAUGGAGGCAACUCUGAACCAGCCAAGUCGCGUGAAGGAUGAAUGUCCUAUGGAUUGUAAACUUCUUUUGUACAGGAAUAAAGUGAGCCACGUGUGGUUUUUUGCAUGUACUGUACGAAUAAGGAUCGGCUAACUCCGUG
rnacentral:rRNA from 1 species